CCAGACUCCUACGGGAGGCAGCAGUGAGGAAUAUUGGUCAAUGGGCGAGAGCCUGAACCAGCCAAGUCGCGUGAGGGAGUACUGCCCUAUGGGUUGUAAACCUCUUUUGUCGGGGAGCAAAAGCCGGACGUGUCCGGCUGUGAGAGUACCCGAAGAAAAAGCGUCGGCUAACUCCGUGCCAGCAGCCGCGGUAAUACGGAGGAUGCGAGCGUUAUCCGGAUUUAUUGGGUUUAAAGGGUGCGUAGGCGGAAUGCCAAGUCAGCGGUAAAAUCGCGGGGCUCAACCUCGCUCCGCCGUUGAAACUGGCGUUCUUGAGUGGGCGAGAAGUAUGCGGAAUGCGUGGUGUAGCGGUGAAAUGCUUAGAUAUCACGAAGAACUCCGAUUGCGAAGGCAGCUUACUAAACUGCCACUGACAUUGAUGCUCGAAAGUGUGGGUAUCAAACAGGAUUAGAUACCCGAGUA
rnacentral:rRNA from 1 species